rnacentral:rRNA from 1 species
AGAGUUGAUCCUGGCUAGGAUGAACGCUAGCGGCAGGCUUAACACGAUGCAAGUCGAGGGGCGAGCGGGUUGUAGCAAUACAAUGUCGGCGACCGGCGAAAGGGUGAGUAACGCGUGAGCAACAUGCCCGAUACUGGAGGAUAGUCGAUGGAAACGUCGCGUAAUACUCCGUAACAACAGAGACCGCAUGAUCUUUGUUUAAUAGAUUUAUCGGUAUCGGAUUGGCUCGCGUCCCAUUAGGCAGUUGGCGGGGUAACGGCCCACCAAACCGACGAUGGGUAGGGGUUCUGAGAGGAAGGUCCCCCCACAUUGGAACUGAGACACGGUCCAGACUCCUACGGGAGGCAGCAGUGAGGAAUAUUGGUCAAUGGCCGAGAGGCUGAACCAGCCAUGCCGCGUGCGGGAGGACGGCCCCUAUGGGUUGUAAACCGCUUUUGUUGGGGAGCAAUAAGGAGCACGUGUGCUUCGAUGAGAGUACCCAGCGAAUAAGCAUCGGCUAACUCCGUGCCAGCAGCUGC